rnacentral:lncRNA from 1 species
CCUAAACGAUAACCUUUCACUUAAUUGACCAGCCAAGCAUAAAUCAAUGACCUAAAAUUCGGAUACAAUACCAGCAAAGCAUCUGCGACGUCGAUUCAAGACAAUGUCACAUGUCUUGCCAGAUUAAAAUGCUGAAUUAAAUGAAAAAAGCAAAGCAAGCAACAAAAGAAAUAUGAAAACCCUAAAAAACCGAUUCCUGCUGCAGAAAAACGAUCAAGAAAAAAGGAAACGAAAACAAAAGAACAUCAAUGCAUCAUUCAAAGACGUAAUCAGAACAACUUGAAAUCGAAAAUCGACGACACUCAAGCCCUAAUAGCAGAGUCGCGAUAAAGAAGAGAUUACCUACGGAGAAAAAGUGCUCCGAUUCGGAGCUGUAGGUAGAUGGAGAGUGCCUUUGUUCGACGAGGAAUCGGCGAGGCCUUGAAUCGAGCAGGGAUUUAUAGCGGUGAAGUAAGGGGGCGAAGACAGAGACGAAAUGCGAGUCCGCUUACAAAGGAGCGGAUUUUCUGAACAGAGAGUAGAUUCUGUUGAACAUAAUGAGCAGGCUUUAUUUAUAUAUGCUCUCCGUGGUAACAGUUCCUGUGUGUUGCAUUUAGUUUAUGCUAAAACGGGGUGCC